GAUGAACGCUAGCUACAGGCUUAACACAUGCAAGUAGAGGGGCAGCAUUAGAGAAGCUUCGGCUUAUUUAGAUGGCGACCUGCGAAUGGGUGAGUAACACGUAUCCAACCUGGCUGUUACUGGAGGAUAGCCUCCCGAAAGGGAAAGUAAGACUCCAUAGAAUGAUUGCAAGACAUCUUGUGAUGAUUAAAGGUUACGGUAACAGAUGGGGAUGCGUCCCAUUAGGCAGUUGGCGGGGUAACGGCCCACCAAACCGACGAUGGGUAGGGGUUCUGGAGAGGAAGGUCCCCCACAUUGGAACUGAGACACGGUCCAAACUCCUACGGGAGGCAGCAGUGAGGAAUAUUGGUCAAUGGACGGAAGUCUGAACCAGCCAAGUAGCGUGCAGGAAGACGGCCCUAUGGGUUGUAAAACUGCUUUUAUACGAGGGUAAAGUGUGCCACGUGUGGCAUAUUGCAAGUAUCGUAAGAAAAGGAUCGGCUAAUUCCGUGCCAGCAGCCGAC
rnacentral:rRNA from 1 species